rnacentral:rRNA from 1 species
UGGCUUAACCAUAGAACUGCUUGGGAAACUGAUAAUCUAGAGUGAGGGAGAGGCAGAUGGAAUUGGUGGUGUAGGGGUAAAAUCCGUAGAGAUCACCAGGAAUACCCAUUGCGAAGGCGAUCUGCUGGAACUCAACUGACGCUAAUGCGUGAAAGCGUGGGGAGCAAACAGGAUUAGAUACCCUGGUAGUCCACGCCCUAAACGAUGUAUACUAGUUGUUGCUAAGCUAGUCUUGGCAGUAAUGCACCUAACGGAUUAAGUAUACCGCCUGGGGAGUACGGUCGCAAGAUUAAAACUCAAAGGAAUAGACGGGGACCCGCACAAGCGGUGGAGCAUGUGGUUUAAUUCGAAGAUACGCGAAGAACCUUACCCGGACUUGAUAUCUAACAAAUCAUCUAGAGAUAGAAGAGUGUCUGCUUGCAGAAAUGUUAAGACAGGUGCUGCACGGCUGUCGUCAGCUCGUGUCGUGAGAUGUUGGGUUAAGUCCCGCAACGAGCGCAACCCACGUCAUUAGUUG